rnacentral:rRNA from 1 species
AGAGUUUGAUCCUGGCUCAGAGCGAACGCUGGCGGCGUGCUUAACACAUGCAAGUCGAACGCGUAACUCCCUGUAGCAAUACAGGGGGCGGGCGCGUGGCGAACGGGUGCGUAACACGUGGGUAACUUACCCUCUUGUGGGGAAUAACCCGCCGAAAGGCGGGCUAAUACCGCAUUACAUCCCGGAUACUUCGGUGAUCGGGAUCAAAGCCCGCAAGGGUGCAGGAGGAGGGGCCCGCGGCCGAUUAGCUUGUUGGCGAGGUAACGGCUCACCAAGGCAAUGAUCGGUAGCCGGUCUGAGAGGAUGGCCGGCCACACUGGAACUGAGACACGGUCCAGACUCCUACGGGAGGCAGCAGUGGGGAAUCUUGCGCAAUGGGCGAAAGCCUGACGCAGCAACGCCGCGUGGGGGAUGAAGCUUCUCGGAGUGUA